rnacentral:lncRNA from 1 species
CCCCCACCUGAGGGGCCAAGGUUCCCUUUUAUAGGCGGGGGUCGGUUUACCUGUGAUGUAACGGGGCGAGGCCGUAGUACGGCUCGGCAUGUUGUUCAGGUCGGCGCACGAUCAGGUGAAUCAUUGCGUUGAUGUCGGCGGUGAGGUCGUCGUACGACCUGGGCUUGCACGCUACCAGACGAAUUACUACAUUGGUGUCGGAGGUAUGGCCGAGAUCAGAGACUUAUCAUGGUUGACUAGACUCUGCUGGGCUAACUUGCCGUGGAGAGCUGAAAGUCCGUAGAUGACAGGAGCCAUGCGCAUUAAAUGUGGAGUAAGCCGGAGAUCCGCAUUAAUU